rnacentral:rRNA from 1 species
AAGACCUUGCACUUUUGGAGCGGCCGAUGUCUGAUUAGCUAGUUGGUGGGGUAAUGGCCUACCAAAGCUUCGAUCAGUAGCUGGUCUGAGAGGACGGCCAGCCACACUGGGACUGAGACACGGCCCAGACUCCUACGGGAGGCAGCAGUGGGGAAUUUUGGACAAUGGGGGCAACCCUGAUCCAGCCAUGCCGCGUGAGUGAAGAAGGCCUUCGGGUUGUAAAGCUCUUUCAGCCGGGAAGAAAAGGUUGCGACUAAUAAUCGCAAUCCAUGACGGUACCGAAAGAAGAAGCACCGGCUAACUACGUGCCAGCAGCCGCGGUAAUACGUAGGGUGCGAGCGUUAAUCGGAAUUACUGGGCGUAAAGGGUGCGCAGGCGGUUUUGUAAGUCAGAUGUGAAAUCCCCGGGCUUAAUCUGGGAACU